UACGGAGGGUGCGAGCGUUGUCCGGAAUCAUUGGGCGUAAAGAGCUCGUAGGCGGCCUGUUACGUCUGCUGUGAAAUCCCGGGGCUUAACCCCGGGCGUGCAGUGGAUACGGGCAGGCUGGAGGCAGGCAGGGGAGAACGGAAUUCCCGGUGUAGCGGUGAAAUGCGCAGAUAUCGGGAGGAACACCGGUGGCGAAGGCGGUUCUCUGGGCCUGUACUGACGCUGAGGAGCGAAAGCGUGGGGAGCGAACAGG
rnacentral:rRNA from 1 species